GAGCCCGUGGCUCAAUGGUAAGAGCGUUCGACUUCUAAUCAACAGAUCACGGGUUUGAGCCUCGGUUGGCGCA
rnacentral:tRNA from 1 species